rnacentral:misc_RNA from 1 species
GAAAGAUUUACAAAGCAGGGAAAUUAGCCAUGUAAAGAGGUAGAAAUAACCAACUAUAGACAAUAUAUAAUAUACUUAUUGAUAACUGUGCACUGUUUGGAAAGGCUGCAGAACCCACUUCUAGCUACCAUGCAAAUAAGUAUCUUAUAAUAACUACUAGUAAGAAAACCUUUAUAUUUUACCAUAAUCAAAAUGUAAGGCGGCCUAGAGUUACAACUUUUAACUACUCAUUGAGCCAACCUGCUGAGCUAUGAGGAUAAGGAUACUGAGGACCUGGAGCAAAGCCCAUUGAAUCAACAUGGCCGCCAGGAGGGCCUGGUCGAGGUGCUCUGGAAUCGUAUAUGAUAUUAUUUCUGUUCAACAUGGAUGGAUCAGAACCAAAAUUAUUCAUCCUUGUAUGGUUCAACUCAUCCAGUCGAGGUGCAUAUCGCUGCAUUGCAGGCAUGUUCAUCCUAUAGGAUGACUCUACAGCUGCACCCACAUGGCCAUAAGGGAUAGAUGAUAGUGGUCCCAUUUGGCCAUAUCCUGGUUCAAGACCACCCAAAUAAUUUCUUUGGACGGAAUAAUCAACAUCUUGUCCAUAAAAUCGAACUUGCGACCGCAUAUCUGACCCCCUCUCUAAUCCAGUGACAUAUGAUCGAUAACCAAUAUCCUCUGCAAUCUCUCUCAUGUUCCCUGUCGAUUGUUCCUCCAAGUUAGCAUGAGGAAAUCCAUGAAUGCCAUGUGAAUACUCCAUACCAUUCAUGCUGUAUUUGCUACCCACAUCUUCAUGAACAUAGGACAUGCUCCCACCAUAAGCUGUUCCAUAUGGCAGAUGUGAGCUAGGCAUGCCAGACUCCAAAUUUGGCAAACUAUUUUCGCCAACCUUUGUGUGCAUGGGCGUUUCAAGAGAUCUAGAUGGGGGACCUUCCUGUGAGGUUCUACCAUCAACCACGUUGGUUGGUGAACGAUGAGGCACUUCCUUGUUCGUAUCACUUCCAGAAGGCUUUCCACCUUUCCACUUGUUCUUGGGUAAUUUUUCACCCGUUCCUCUGCCAAUCUUAUCUUCAAUAUGCUUAGUCUUCCUUGAAGUCUCCUCAGACCGGUUUCUCUCAAGGCCGUGACUAUCUUGGCUUUCUUUGUCACCAUUUUCAUGAGGAGAGCAUUCUUUACGACCUCCAAUCAAAGCUAUCUCAUGAUUUGGUUCUUUACUUUCCAUGUAAAGAUCAUCUGUCACCUCUGAAGUACCAGGAUUGCAACAGUGAACCUCCACUGGAUGAUCAGGGGAUUUUGAGUCAUGGCAACUUUUUUCCAAAUUGGAUCCUCCCCGUCGCAUGAAUAAAUGAUCAUGCUUCUGAGCUAUGGCCUUGUGUUUUACACUCCAAUCAGGACGGCUCCAAAGAUAAAGAAGUGGGGCAGUCACGUUCCACUGUUCCAUUUGUUUAUCAUUCUCAUCAACAGAACCAGGUAGAUAAAAUGACUGGAAGGAUAUAAAAAAACAAGCCACCAUCAAAACCAAAAUCUAUACUCAGCCACUAUGGUAAUAUACAAAACAUCUUAUUCACGUAUUACCUUCCCUGACAAAAACUGAUCAUCCUCCCAAACAAGAUCGUAAGGUGUACGCUUUUUGUCUAACCUUUCUGUUUCUGGUGGAACAAUCAGAAUAAGGAGUUUUGGUUUAAAUUCAAGUGCCUUAUCAAUGAACUUGUUAGCCAAUGCUGCUUUUACUCCAAAAGGAGGGUUGAGUCCCAUGAUCAACUGUGAACCCCUUUUUGGCAGCUCAUCUGGUUGAACAGUCAUCCAAUCCCUCUUCUCAAAAUUGAAGUCAUUCUUUGGUUGGAAAACAUCAUAGUUUUUAUAUGAGCAUUUCUUCCCUGUCUCUUCAAGCUUCUUUUUCAUAAGACAACUAAAAUCAUUCGCACCACAACAGAAGUCAACAACCAUAUCACCAUCUUGUACAUACCAAUGGAGCACAUUGACAAUCUCUUUCAGUUUCUCCACUUUCGUAAAAUGGCGGCCAAAGGAUGUAUAACGCAUUCCAUAGAGAAAUGGUGCAAGAUACACUCUAAGCUUGUUCUAGAGAUAUAUGAACCAAGCAAUGGUGUUAAUAAAGAAAAAAAUGAGUUGUGUUAGCUCUAUUAAAUAGCCCAGCAUCUACAUUAAUCUAUUUUGAGUAGAUUGAUUCAGUCAAGUCUUGUACUACAGCAUGCAGUGAUAAAGACCAAUCAUCUCUAAAUAAAGCAUCAGCAAGAUGACAAAUGCACUCACAGUUACAACUCUACAAUCAAAUAACUUUCAAAUGCACGUGAACAGAAAGGAGAGAAACAAGGAUCCAAUCCUAAGAUUCAUCAACCCGAGCAAAAAAAUUGAGGUACCUGUGUGUGCAUACACAAAGAAUAGGAAAAAAAAAAGGGCACAAAUUCCUCUAAAUUGGGAAUCUUACAUAAGAAUAGCAAUUGCUAACAGAUGUUAUUGGACAACUACCUUCCACUUAAAAACCUGAUUCAGAACCUCUGGUUCACAAACAGCUUUGGCAUCUUCAGUGCUGCAUCCAUCUUCUAGCUUCCUCAAAGCUGUCCUGACAGCCUCAACUGCACCCUCCACCUUUCCUGUCGUAAUUGUCUUGUCAACAACAGUUUUUGAUGAGUAUGCAUGUGUAGAUGGAACUUUAUGCUUUUUCUUGACAUCAUCCAUUGUUAUUGAUGAUGCAGCCUCUUUUAUUAAAGCCAAAAUUCUCUUCUCUGUUUCAGCGUCCAAUGAAGGUAAUUCAUUGCUUAACUUCCGGGCUGAAGUCUUAACUGUCAUAGUUUUAUUGAGUUCACUACUAUGCAAAACCUGCUUCUGAAGUUUUACUUGCUCAGACCUUUUAGUCAUAACCCUAUAUAAUCUGUCACCCAGUGAAGUCUUGUUUAUGGUAGUUGUUGCAGACCUAUCCACAUCUGUUGAGCAAGACUUUGUAUUUUCCUUUAAAGAUUUUCUGAAUGCAUCAUUUGUUUUCACUUUCCUCAACAAAUCUGAUCCAGAUGAUAUUUUUUCACUUCUUUUGAUACUUGCAACCUUUGUCACACCAGAAUAUGACCCAUUAAGUUCUUUAGCAACAGUUUUUGCUGAAAAAGAGUCUUCUGAUGUAAGCCUUCUUUUCUUUGGCAAAAGUUUCCCUGAGCUUCCAGGCAACUCUAAUAUCCGUUUUUUCUUCUUUUCUUCAACAUUAGGGAACCUUAUGUCUCUACUGGGAGUUCCAAGGUCAUCAAUGAUCUCAUGUUUUAAGCAAUAUAUUAAUACACGGUUUGGCAAUAGGCCCUCCCAUGCCCUUGCUGCUGCUGUCUCUUCCUCUUCUUCUUCUCCUCCUCCUCCUCCUCCUACGUCAUCGUCCAAUUCCUUUGCUGCUUCUUCUGCCCGCCCUACCACCAUCUCUCUUCCGCCUCGCUCCUUCAAUGAAACGCUCUUCACCUCUGGCCUCGGUGUGGGCUUCAGCCCGGGCCCUAUGACUCUCGUCUCUAGUUUCUUCUCCGAUUCCGAUGAUUUUAAAUCUUUCUCCCAGCUUCUCGCCGGCGCCAUGGUCUCUCCCGCUGCCAAUACCAACAACAACAACAAACUUCUCGUUCCUCCUCCUCAGGAGAAUAAAAACUCUCUUGCUGACGUCAGCAAGCAGGCCAAUUUGUCCAUCGUUCCGUCGUCGCCGAUGUUCACUGUACCUCCGGGGCUGAGUCCGAUGGCUCUUCUGGAUUCACCGGGGUUCGGGUUCUUAUCUCCCCAGGGACCCUUGGGAAUGACACACCAGCAGGCGCUAGCUCAGGUUACUGCUCAGGCUGUGCAAGCCCAUUCCAGUAUGCAUAUUCAAGCACAGCAUUCAUCUUCUUUGCCAUCAGCACAGGCAACUUCUUCAACGCAGUUUUCAUCUGUUACAACUAAUUCAACUACACACCAGCAGAUGUUACGCUCAAUCCCAGGCCCUAGUGCUUCCAUUAAGGAAUCUUCAGACUUCUCUCGUUCUGAUCAAAGAUUUCAAGCUUCUUCCCUUGUUGUUGAUAAACCUACCGAUGAUGGCUACAAUUGGCGAAAAUAUGGGCAGAAACAGGUGAAAGGCAGUGAAUUUCCACGAAGUUAUUAUAAAUGUACACAUCCCAAUUGUCCUGUCAAGAAAAAGGUUGAGCGAUCUCUUGAUGGUCAAGUAACUGAAAUUAUCUACAAGGGGCAGCACAACCAUCAACCUCCCCAACCCAAUAAGCGUGCAAAGGAUGCUGGAAGCUUGAAUGGAAAUUCAAGUAAUCAGAAUAAUUUUGAACUAGCUUCUCAAUUUCAAAGUGGAAAUGUGAACAAAUUAAAAGAUAGAAAAGAUCAGGAAUCAAGCCAGGCCACACAUGAACUUUUAUCUGGGGCAAGCGACAGCGAGGAAGAUGGUGAUGCUGAAAAUGGUGUAGAUGAAAAUGAUGAAGAUGAACCUGAUCCCAAGAGAAGAAAUACAGAAGUCAAGGUAACAGAUCCAGCUUCUUCACAUAGGACUGUCACAGAAUCUAGAAUCAUUGUGCAGACUACCAGUGAAGUUGAUCUUUUGGAUGAUGGCUACAGGUGGCGCAAGUAUGGCCAGAAGGUAGUGAAAGGAAAUCCCCAUCCAAGGAGUUAUUACAAAUGUACUAGUGCAGGAUGCAAUGUUCGUAAGCAUGUUGAGAGAGCUGCAGCAGACCCCAAAGCUGUCAUAACUACAUAUGAGGGAAAACAUAAUCAUGAUGUUCCUGCAGCUAGAAACAGCAGCCAUAACUCGGCCAACAACAAUGCUCAGUUGAAACCUCAAAAGGUGGUGACCGAGCAGCAUCCGUUGCUUGAAGGGAUGGACUUUGGAAACAAUGAGCAAAGGCCAAUACUUCUACAACUAAAAGAAGAGGAAAUCACUGUAUAAAUGCUCUCUCUGCUGAUAGCUUCUAGACAAAUCAUGAGGAUGAUUCUUGCCUGCUAACAUGUUACAAUGAAGAAACAUGAGAAGAAAGGAAUGUUAUUUGUAAGUGUGAGAAUUUAGCAGUGAUGGUUAUUUUUAACCCUUUAAUUUUUUACCUUUUUGGAUGAAAAGACCGUUUAUAAGAGAAUGCUGUAUUCGCUACAUGUUCUGUACAAUUAAAUUUGACAAAGUGGCACUGUAUAUGACCGUUCACACUGGAGUGGAGAUGACAAUAACCAAGGUUUGAAUGUAAUUCAACUUCUGUUUAGUUUCUGCUAAUUGAGGCUGUCUCCUGAUGUUCUGUUUAUGCUGAAGGUGUGAAGGACCCAUAUAGAGGCAAAUAUGUAAUCAAUUUACAAAAUUGAGAUCCUGUUGUAUUUUGAACUGGUGAAACCUUGCUCUAAGAGUCGAUCCACUGUCUUAUUUUAUAUCUUUUUAUUCCUUUUCAGUUCACUAGAUUAUUU